rnacentral:rRNA from 1 species
GACGAACCGUGCGAACGUUGUUCGGAUUCACUGGGCUUAAAGGGCGCGUAGCGGCUUGCCAAGUCAGGGGUGAAAUCUCCUGGCUCAACUGGGAGCUUGCAGGCGAAACUGCCGUGCUGGAGUGUGGGAGAGGUGCGUGGAAUUCCUGGUGUAGCGGUGAAAUGCGUAGAUAUCAGGAGGAACACCUGUGGCGAAAGCGGGCGCACUGGC